rnacentral:rRNA from 1 species
UACGUAGGUGACAAGCGUUGUCCGGAUUUACUGGGCGUAAAGAGCGCGCAGGCGGUCGAUCAAGUCGAGUGUGAAAGCCCCCGGCUCAACUGGGGAGGGUCAUUCGAUACUGAUCGACUCGAAGGCAGGAGAGGGUAGUGGAAUUCCCGGUGUAGUGGUGAAAUGCGCAGAUAUCGGGAAGAACACCCGUGGCGAAGGCGGCUCUCUGGAACGCAACUGACGCUGAGACGCGAAAGCGUGGGGAGCAAACAGG